AAAUUGUCUAUGUUCGAACAAAAAUAGUGAUGUCAUGUUACAACAUAUUAAUAAUCUAUUGAUGUUUAACUGCUUUAUCGACUACUUUUUCAAAUGUGUUUGUUUUUAUAAAAAAUGUAAUAGGUAUGAGUAUUAUUACUAAUAUUAGACCUUAUUAGCGCCUUUAGUACCUUUAAUUUUCUUUUACAGCGGACGCAUAGUAAAUAACAAUACUGAUAGUGAUAACCGAGGCUACAGUUACAGUCGUUACAGUCAGCAUCAAAAUGGUCAAAUAUAUAGGUACACAUGUGUCACAAUGGUCAAAUAUAUUGUUACUUAUUUUACAGUACAUAUGGAGCUACUUUACCGCACUAGUGCGAUAAUUAGCACAUUACGUAACUAUAUCGAACAUUUUAAGGGCCAUAUAUAUUGUAAUACAUUUGCGAAUAGUUCAUUCGAAACUCGUGUCGACUUAAAAUCGUAUCGCCACUCAUUGCGAUUUUUUAUUUUUCUCACCUGGUUUGGUGUUCUGGGACGUUUACUUACUUACUACUUACUCCGUUGGCUCAGCGACCCAAAAUGAGACUUGGCCUCCGACACAAGACAGCGCCACUUUUCUCGGUCCUGUGCGACCUCUCGCCAAUUGUCGACUCGAAGCUCGCGCAGAUCCGCCUCCACCAUGUCGCUCCAGCGAUACCUAGGGCGUCCGAUAGGACGUCCUCCUGCUAGGCGACCCAGGUACGCUCUUUUUACGUUUUUUCGUUUUUACUUGACUAAAUUACUAACGUAGUCCGAUCAAGCAUUAUGGAACGCGGCGCUGUCGGUAAAGCAGGUGACUCGCGUUGAUAAAGCAGGUUUCUGUCGUAUGCGGGUGUGAGUGGUUUAACAUGUGCAAUGUCGUUAACACAAACACAUGCUAAGUGUUAACAGUAGGCGCAAAUAGUUGACUUACCAAAGGAAAUUUGAAUUUCACGCCUUUUCCGCCUGACAAGUUGGGUUGGGUGUGUAUACGCUGUCUUGUGUUUCCUUGUGUUGGCGGCAAAGUCGUGGAAAAGUGGUUAAAAUGUAAGUAAUGUGUUGGAAAGUGAAGUUUAAAUUUAUCGCUGAACAUGUGCACCUUCAAAAAAGGUAUUAUAACAAUCGUUAUUAUUUUAAGUCGGUUAUAAAGGUUAAUAUCUUAAUGAUGUCUUGUGAACAACUAAUUCCAUACCUACUAAUAUACCGACAAGUUAUCGAUACAGUCAUAUGAACAUUUUGUCAAGCCCUAGCGUAAAGUAACAGUUUAGGUUUUUACACAAAAUAUUCUAAAUUAUUGACUAAUAUCAUGAAAUAUUAACACACAAUUGAAGAAAAACUUAUAAUGAACUAUAUAAAUUGGCUUUUUACACUUUUUAUGCUGUUAAUUUGAUAAAAUAUCGUUACGAAAAUUUCGCUACGAUUAUCAUAAUUACCUGUGAAAUGAGUAUUUCCCUGGGUUUAUUGGCCCUGAAACACAACAAUCCGGCACACAACAUGACACCAUCUUCACUAAAUUACUUAAUAUUUAUUUUUGAUUUUGAUUCUCGUAUAUUUUUAACGUUAAAAAAUACGGCAAUAUGAUUUUGGCCGCCUCGGCCGCCUUCGAAUUCAAAAAAUGGUUACGUUUUCUCAUAUGUAGUCUGCCUCUUUCACACUCGUGACUUGUUCAUAUACGUGAUGGCUUCCCUUUCGCACACUUCAUCUGUCUGUCAAGCGAAGCGUAUGACAAGUCUCUGUGUUUGCCCGUUGUUGGGGUUGGUGAUACAGAACUGGAGGUCUAUGAUGGGACUAAAUACAUUAAAUCAAAUGUUAGUGACGUACUGUAUGUGCCGGACAUUAAAUGGAAUUUGUUUUCGGUGAAGAAAAUUGUUGACAAUGGUUAUGUUGUGACUUUACGGAUACCGAAUGUAUUAUUACAAAAGACGACAACGUAUGUGGUUUGGGAACUCGUGCGGGAAAUAACUAUCUGCUAAACGUUAAUAUGUUCCCUGGAUGUGUGGCAUGAAAGAUUUUAUCACCAAAAUAAAAGAUAUGUCAAAGACAUGCUAAACAAAAGCAACAUAAAGUUUGUGGACAGUGAGAAGAAGUGCGAGAACUGUGUGCUGAACAAAAUAACUAGAAUGCCCUUUGUAACAAACUCAAAUACAGCCAGUGAAGUUCUUGGAGUGGUUCAUGCUGAUGUUGCGGGCCCUAUGGAGAUUGCAUCUGUGGGAGGAGCGAGAUAUUUCCUUCUUCUCAAAGAUGAUUUGUCAAAUUACAGGGUAGUGUAUUUUCUAAAGCACAAAUCAGAGGUACCAGAAAAAAACAAACAUUAUAUUCUUACCUCCGAGAGAUACACCUGCAAGAAAUUGAAAAUUUUGAAAUCUGACAAUGGGACAGAGUUCGUAAAUCGAGGAACUUAAGGACAUACUGGGAGCCAAGGGCAUCAUACAUCAAACCACAAUCCCAUACACAUCCGAACAGAACUCUAGGGCAGAACGCAAGAUGAGGACGCUGGUGGAGGCUGCACGUUCCAUGAUAAAUGGCUUCGGGAAGGAAGGCUUCUGUCCAGCCAUUAAUAUGGCAGUCUAUGUCAUUAACCGAACUGGCAAGAAUCACGUUGAAGGAAAAAUGCCUUAUGAGGUGUGGGAAGGAAAAGAGUUUGAUUUGAGUAAUUUAAAGAUGAUAUUUGGCAGUGAGGUGGCGGUCCAUAUCCCUAAACAGAAGAGGUUGAAAUGGGACCCUUAAGGAAAGAAAGGCAUAUUUGUAGGCUAUGAAAGCUCAAAAGGGUACAGGAUUUAAUAUCCGGAAGAAAGGUUUGUUGACAUAAGAAGAGAUGUGGUUGUACUGUCAAAUAAAGGCUCCUGUGUUCCCGCCCAUGAUAAAGAAAAGGAAGAGGUGGUGAUUCUUUUGGAUUCUCACCCUGCCAGAGAGGUUAGGUCUAAAUCACAAGAGACACAAUAUGAUCCAGAGGUCCAAAAUUCAAGUAAAGAGGAUGAUGAAUUGCAACCAGAUGAAUACCAGAGUGCAGAUGAGGUGGCCAUGUCUGAAGCAUAAGGUGAAGGUAAUGGCUUUACAGAUGAGGUGAUAAUGCCAGAACCUCAAGAUGAGGGAGGUCACUUAGUGCUAGAACAAAUACCAGUAGACAAGGCACAGGAAGGUCAAUACUCCAGAUCUGGUAGGCAAGUCAAAAGGCCACAGAGAUUUGAUGACAUGGUAUUACCAAUUGGACAAGAAAGUGAUCCAAAAACUUAUGGUGAAGCUAUGAGAUCAAAAGACAAGGACAAGUGAGAAGGAGCAAUCAAAGCGGAGCUUGCACAAAUGAAAGAGUAUAACACUUAGACUGAGGUCCAAACAAUACCAGACUCUGCAAGCGCAGUGAGAUCAAAAUGGGUAUUCAAGAAGAAAGAUUAAUUCCAAGGGAAUCAGGAAAUGUUAGCUUCAGAUAAAAAAAAAUUGGCUAGCUGAAAAAAACUAUAAUGAAUAAAAAGAAGAACAUCAGAAUUGUCUUGAAGGCUAACUAUAACUUACUUUACUUUGAAAUCUCAACAUUGUUGAUCCUUCUGUCAUGAAGACACAAUGCUUCCGCUGCCUGCUUAUACUACACUAGAGUAAUCUACUCUAAUACUAUUAAGCGUCAACUCUCUGCAAGUAUAUUCAGAUGCCUUCAGCUAGAUCUGGUUAGUGAAGUGGAUAGUGACUGGGAAGAGGAACCAAACCAAUGAGAUCAACAGACGCGUACGACUAGCCUGGGCAGCCUAUUCGAAUCUAUGAGUUUGCCUUCAAAAUGAAAUUUAAGGCCUAACAAAAAGCCCGCAUAUUUGACCAAUGUAUCCUGCCAGUUCUCACUUACGGAGCUGAAACCUGGGUCUUCACCAAGGACAUAUUACUUAAGUUAAGCGUUGUCCAACAGGUGCUAGAGAGAAAACUAGUUGGGAUCACAUUGAGAGACCGUAAAACGAAUGAGUGGCUGAGACAGCAGAGCAAGGUCACCGACGUUGUAAAACGCGUAGCCAGAUUGAAGUGGGAAUGGACUGGUCAUAUAGCAUGAAAAACCGAUUCGUGGAGCAAACGUCUACUGGAGUGGUGACCAUGAGGGGAGGAACGUCCUCAAAGUAGACCCCAGAUGCGUUGGGACGACGACAUUCCUAAGGAAUGCGGGGAAGAAGUGGCUCCAGGUCACACAGAACCGUGACCAGUGGCAUAAAAUGAAGGAGGCCUACACCUGAAGGGUAGACAAGGGCUAAAGAAGAAGAGAAGAAGAAAAUGUGAUUAAUGUCAAAGAAGAUAUUCAAAAAUGUAAAUUUAGCAAUAUUUAGAAUGUCAGGUUUUGAGUAAACCUUUGCAUUAUUAUUAUUUAUUAAGCCUUUUUCUCCUUCAAUUACAAAAUAUUUUCAUUCUUGUUUGAUUGAAUAUGUAGUUAUGUGUAUCUCAGUAAGUUAAGGCCCCUGUCCGGGUAUAGGCCUCCUCCAGUGAUCUCCAGAUUUUCCGGUCUCCUGCUUUGUUUUGCCAGUCUUUUCCUGCUGUUUUUACUAUGUCGUCAACCCUCCGGUCCCGGGGGCAUCCUUAAUUUCUGUAGUUAACUGGGCCAACCCAUGUAGUAACCUUUUUAGUCCAUCUAUCCUUUGGUGCUUAAGAGUGCAGCAGCAGGUUGCUGGACUACAAUAGCAAGGGAUAGGGAUAAAUGGAAAGAGUUAGGGGAGGCCUUUGCCUACAAAAGGCAUACAGAUGGAAAUUAGAUAUAUAUAUAUAUAUAAAUACUUGUCUGAAAUAAAGGCUAUUUCAUCAUCCAUUGGUGCACGUGCCACAUGGCCCGCCCACAUCCACUUCAGGUGUAAGGAGUAGACAGCAUCUAUUAUAUUUGUUUGUUUUCGAAUGUCUACAUUUUUUCCUUUCCCUUAGUAUGAUAUUAAGUAUGCUCCUUUCUAUUGACCGUUGGCAUGUUUGUAUUUUACUUUUUAUUCUGCGGUCAAAUGUCCAAGUUUGUGAGGCAUAAGUUAAGCUGGGUAAUAUACAUGAGUCUAUAACUUUUUUCUUUAGUUUGACUGGCAGUUUGGAUUUUUGUAUCUCUUUGUAUCCCCAGAUUUUUUUCCAAGUUAUGUUUAUUCUUCUUUCUACUUCAUCUAAAUGCCUUGAGGGUUUAAAAGAUAUUUGUUUUCCUAGGUAUAUAUAACUGUCUACGUAUUCCAGUGGCGCAUCUUUGACCAAUAUAGAUACCGGAAUAUAGAUAUGUUUUCCAGUUGUGAAGGUGUUUUUGAAUAUAAUAUUAUAUCGUCCGUAAAUCUAAGGUUUGAUAAGUACUGGCCCUUAAUGUAUAAGUAGUCCUUUUUCUUUUCCUGUAGCACUGAUAUGAAAAUCUUUGGGGAGAGUGGGUCUCCCUGCUUCACACCUCUUUUAUAUUGAUAAUGGGCCCUAAUAGAUCCAAUUUUACACGGCUCCUACUUUUUCUAUAGACUUCUUUAAUUUUAUUUAUGUACGUACUUGCAACUCCUUGAUGUUUCAGUGCUUGCCAAAUGCUCUCAUGUGUUAUAGAGUCAAAUGCCUUGGCGUAAUCAAUAUAGGCUAGAUAGAGUGGGUUGUUAAAUUCCUGGUAUUUUUCUAUUACCUGGUCUAAAGUAUAAAUAUGAUCAGUGGUAGAAUACCCUGGCCUGAAACCUGCUUGCUCGCUUGGUUGGUGUUUUUCUAUAUGUGGCUCUAUUCUUUUUUCAAGGCUAAUUGGCUUGUAGUUAUUAAUGUCAGCUGGGUCGCCCUUCUUAUACUGUAGAAUAAUCCGUGAUUCUGCCCAGUGUUGAGGUAUUAUCUGUGUUUCAAGUAUUUUAUUAAACUGUACAGUAAGGGGACCAAUCAGAGCAGGAGUUCCAAUUUUUAAGGGCUUCGUUUGGUAUAUUAUCAGCUCCUGGACUCUUUUCGUUCUUUAAUCGCUUUAUAUUUUUCAGUAUUUCUUGAGUGUCAAAUGGUGGAACGGUAAUUUGGGCUGUUUGUACAUUGGUGCAUUUCUCUUGGUCCUGGUCUAUAUUCUCACUUUGUUUGUUAGUUGAGUUAUCACUACUAUAAAGUUUUUUAUAGAAAUCUGUUGCUACUUCCACUAGCUCUUCCCAUGUUUGAAGUUUUUUAGUUGCUUUCUGUGUUUUAAGAGUUGGUAUCCAUUUUUUCUCUGAGUUCAGCUGUUUAUAUGCUCUGUUUUGGCUUCCAGAUUCAACUAAAUUGUGCUCUAUUAUUUGAAGUCUGUAAUUUUCAGUCUUUUUUUAACAUUUUGUUUAACUUUUUUAACAUGCCGUAGCUCAGGAACUACAAUGGAAUGAAUGAAGCGAUUGGUGUAUGCGAAAUUAAAACGUGUGCAUUGUAGGUCGAUUGCGUCUUUCAAAAUGGAGUAAAUCAUUUCUAUAUAGUUUUUGACGAAUUAUACUAUAAAGAUGAUGGCAGUGGUCUUAUGCGGGAGGACGGGCAGAGUCAGUUAGAAUAGUUUGUAUUCAAACGGCGUGUGUAGGUCUAAAAUUAUUUGAUUACAAAAUACAUAGUCUAUAGUCAAAUUAACCAAAUGUACUGUAAUCGGUUUGUUGAAGUCCGAGAUGCGAAAUUAACAGUUUUUUUUUAAGAAAAUGAUUUUUUUUACCUAGAAGGUUUGCUUACUGACCAGAAUAAUUUGAGAAAGAGAUCAUUCAGCGUAAAUAAUAUCUAAUAAAUAUUAACAAUACAUUUAUUAGCUUUCUAAAAAUAUACAUUUUAUUACCAUACAACUAUUAAUAUAUAUGUCAAUGCCAAUUUUGUUUAGUAUUUUAUGCAACAGUUGUAUAAGAAGGGUCAAAAAAGGCGAGUGGCGUGAGUUACAAUGUGAGCCGGAGCCGAAGGCGUAGGCGAACAUUGUAAAGGAAUACGCCACGAGAAUUUUUUGACCUACUUAUACAACGUUGCAUACAAUAUUUUUCCUACGAGUCAACAAAAAUAAAUCUUAAUUUAGGUAAACAAAUUACAGCAAAAGUAUAUAGCCAAGAUGCGCGAGCAUACCUUGUUACGCGCCCAGCCCGCCCCGGGCCGCGGCCGGCCGGUCGGCGACACCUCGUAACUCAUGAGGCCCUGGUACUUGCUACUUGCUAAAUUAAUUUUUUGGACAUUUUUUUCUCAAUUUUGGCCACCGUAGCCUACGGAGACUAACAAGCAACGCUAAGCGGUCUUCGUAGUCUAUGGGUGUUGCUAUAUUACGGGUGUCACAUGCGUGUUUCUGACUUAUGAAGUAAUUAUUUUUACUAUGCAACCAAAUGAAUAUUUUGUAAGUUGGCAUCAAUGCACUUAGUUUAAAACUGUAUUCGUUUUGGUUUUGUUAGGUUGGUAGCCAUUAAUCGCAGUAACAUUAUAGCUUAUAAAAGCACAAGAGCUUUUAUGAGGAAUAGACAAUAUAGACUUUUCUUGAAAUCUUUUAUGUAUGUUCUUAUAUUCGUGUUAAUGAAUGCAUAAAUGACAGAUAACAGUAGAGGAGUAGGAAAAAGUAUAAACGGCGCAGCGUCGGUAAACCAGCAGCAUACUAUUAUUAUUUGAAAGUACAUUUAUUUAUAAUGUUCCUAAAUGAGAGGCUAUCGUUUGUAUUAUCUCAUAUCAUCUAAUAUCGAUAAACAUUGUGGUUUAAUAAUUCAUCUUAGUUUAGUAAGUUAUGUUUCCACAAAUAGUCAAGUUCUAAGUUCAUAACUUCGUUAAGUUCGUAGCUUCAUGAUUGCAAGACGACUGCACAUGAAGUAGUGUGUAGUAAUAUCUGUCUCAUUAUUUGACUCACAUCUACAUAUUAAACAUUUUCGAACCCACUUCGUAGUUAAUAACUUAAAAUCACCUUCAAGAUGUGGGCUGGGGCUUGUGGCGUUUUAAAGUGAGAUUAAUCGCUGCACGCUCUCGCCUAUAGAUUAUGAAUUUCUUGGUAUUAAAUUGAACUAAGGGAGUGCGUUACAUUAAAAAAAGACAGACUACAAAUAUAAAAAGCUAUAAUAUAUGUCAUCUCUACAAUUCACAUACAAUAAAAAAAUCACAUUAAGCUUUUUAUAAGACCUAGUAAGAAUUACUAGGUUUUAAUAUGGACCACAUUGGAUCUAUACUUUGUCCAUAUAAUUAAAGGGAAUCCACUCCUCCUAUAUAACGUGGUAACCGUUAAUAAAUGAAAUAGUUUAAAUUUAAACAUAAAAUCAUUCAUUUCGUAUUGAAAAGAGUAUUUAUUACUGCCCCAGUAAAA